AAAAUUCACAACUGAAGAUGCAACAUGUCAAAACCAAACAUCAUGCACUCAAAUCAUGGUUUUAUAAUCUUUGCAAAUCAAAGUUGUAGGAAUUUGUGUAACACCAUGGCAUUUCAACCCUGUUUCACAUUGCAUACAUGUCAAUAAAUUUCUUAUCAGAAAUCUUUAAAGUCAAAUAAUGCUUUUUUUUAAUCACCCUAGAGAGAGAGAGAGAGAGA
rnacentral:misc_RNA from 1 species